rnacentral:rRNA from 1 species
CCUACGGGAGGCAGCAGUGGGGAAUAUUGCACAAUGGGGGAAACCCUGAUGCAGCGACGCCGCGUGAGUGAAGAAGUAAUUCGUUAUGUAAAGCUCUAUCAGCAGGGAAGAAAAUGACGGUACCUGAGUAAGAAGCCCCGGCUAACUACGUGCCAGCAGCCGCGGUAAUACGUAGGUGGCAAGCGUUGUCCGGAUUUACUGGGUGUAAAGGGCGUGUAGCCGGGCUGACAAGUCAGAUGUGAAAUCCGGGGGCUCAACCCCCGAACUGCAUUUGAAACUGUUGGUCUUGAGUAUCGGAGAGGCAGGCGGAAUUCCUAGUGUAGCGGUGAAAUGCGUAGAUAUUAGGAGGAACACCAGUGGCGAAGGCGGCCUGCUGGACGACAACUGACGGUGAGGCGCGAAAGCGUGGGGAGCAAACAGGAUUAGAUACCCGAGUAGUC